UGAGACAGUUUGAUGAAUAGAGGGUUUUUAUUGGAAUGGACAGAGAAUAGUAAUUGCAGUCGAUGCGAAGCAAGCGGUGGCCGCUGCGGAUAUUACGAUAAACAGUUCUUAUGCCUUUGCAGUUUGCCCCAGUGGACCCAAUGGCGAAAUCUGCACAGGACUUGUACAUCUUAGGAUCAAGAAGAGGGGUUUGAAUGAUCAAAGCAUCCAAUUGUCGAGGAUGCCCGAUUAACACAGACAUGUUGAAUGAGCACAAGGUCUGCUGCUGCUUAGAUGAGAGGUUCUCCUCUGGAUGAACAAAUCAUUUAAAAUAGAAUAAUAUACUUUGGGAUUCUUUCUUUUGUCUUCAGUGUCUAAAAAAUCUGGAAUCCGGUAGGAUCGGUCCCAGCAGAUUCGGUGGAAGAGAAAUCCGGUAAUACUGUAACACCAAUGUCAAGGCUAUUUAGUCGAUCAGUUUAUGAAUCUCGUCAUGCUUUUGGGCAGAUACUGGCCACUGAAGUGCCUGUAGAUUGUGAUGUUGUGAACUUGUGAUAGCUGUACUGGAUUCCGGUGUGGUUGCGGCUCUUGGGUAUGCAGAGAAGGCAGGGGUUCCCUUCCAACAAGGGCUGAUAAGGUCACACUACGUCGGGAGAAACAUUCAUUGAGCCGUCAUGGAAGAUUAGGGACAUGGAGAUUGCCGACUUAUACGUGUGUCCCAGCAUUCUUCUUUUGAUUCCGACAACGGUGAAGACUGGGAAUGGGAGGAUGACGAGGGGUUUCGCCUGUAGAGAAGAAAAGCAGUGGGUUAUUACAUGGGUAUUUUAGGUACUUCACAUUUAGUAAAUGUAUUUUGGUAUUUAAAAUAAAAUAUAGUAGCUGACAUUAGUAUAAAA